GGGGCUGACUGGAUUUGACAGCGGGCUGGGAUGGUGUGUAAGCAUGCGGAGUGACGGCUGUUGACUCCAUAAUCACGUCGGCCGAACAAUUUAAUUGGCGAAACAAAGUACGCUCUCGCUGCUUAAUCGAAGUAUAGUAGAUUAGCUUUAUUCCUUUGCAAGGCAGAGGAACGGGACAUCGCUCAGAGCCCAAUUCAUGAGGCUUACUGGUUUAAGCGGUGCUAUAAUUUCAGGAAUAGCGAAUGGAGUACCUCUAUUCAUUUGCGAAACUUUAUGGGGAUAAGGUUGCAAGUUGGUGGUUCAGGUCUUACUGCAACUCGAAAAUCUAAACUGAAAUAAGCAUGUAGAAAGCAUACGGUCACACCGUUUGGACGAGGGUUCGACUCCCUCCAGCUCCACCC
rnacentral:tmRNA from 1 species